AUUUGAAAGCCAUAUAUCAAAGCAUUUUGGGAAAAUGGAACCAGACUCGGGAAGAUGCGUUCCUGGAAUAUGCAUGUCUUUUUGUUAGUUCAUUGAUUUGUUUGAAAAGAAGAUUACGGCGAUAAGAGUCUGUAGACUCCGCAAUAUCGAGGAGAUGUUUGCCUCUCUGAUCCUUAACGAGAGCAGAUAUGUUUAUCCAUUUUUACACAAAGAUGAGACCAGAUUCUAGGUCUGUAGACUCUGCAAUAUCGAGGAGUUGUUUGCCUCUCUGAUCUUUAAGUACUUACCUGGUCAGUAUAUAUGCCAUUAUAUUUCUGGUUCAUCUCUUAAGUUAUAAUAAACACGAUUUUUUUUAUACAUGCUACUACUAUCACUUGGUAUGCGAAAUUGUAAGUCAUCCUAUGUUUGUCACUCUAACUAUCUAAAUCCUAUGUUUGCCUCAGGAAAUUCUGUAACUACUAUAGAAUGUGGGAUGUAUGGUUUCCUACACUCCAGAUCUCCAUGGUUGGGCCUCUGAAGAUUUAGACCCACGUAGUAUUUCUUGAUUUGUCCUCUCCGUGUGGUUACUAUAGUGUAAUAAGCACUGCUAUUCAGCUUCUUUUUGUGAGAUUUCAAUAUUUUUUUCAACACAAAUAAUUAUUUUCUUUGUUGUCUUCAUUUGUGAGAAAAUCCUAAGAAGCUUUCUUCAUAUCGAAGUAUUUCAGACCAAAAAGAAUCAUUUACUUAGAGCCCUCAAUGUUGAUUAUUUAGUUGUUUCUGGUCCUAAACGAGACACUCUUUGGUUAAUUUGAGACUCUUUCUCAGGUUUCCUUUACACAUGAAUGUUUAUGCCUGUUGGUCACAGAAAUACAUGAGUGAUAUCCUUUAGGGCCACUUGUUUUUGUCUGAAUUUUCAUGUGUAACCGAAUCUAUAUUAUUGAGGCAUAUUAGUCCACCGAAUGUACACUUAAUUUUCAAGAUGAAUCCAGAAAUAUUAGUCACAAGGUGUAGUGAAUGUCUGCUAUCUUUAUGUUCUUACAACUUUUCCAACAAUCUCUUUUAAGGUGUAUGCAUAUUUAUUAGAACAUUCUUUUCUAAUGGCAUUACGAUAUCUGCUGUGUACGCAUCGCUGAUGACACAAACGGUGGUGACAUUCAUAUUUUUGAUGGGUCAUGGGGCACAAC